rnacentral:rRNA from 1 species
AGUGAACGCUGGCGGUAGGCCUAACACAUGCAAGUCGAACGGCAGCACAGUAAGAGCUUGCUCUUACGGGUGGCGAGUGGCGGACGGGGGAGGAAUACAUCGGAAUCUACUUUUUCGUGGGGGAUAACGUAGGGACACUUACGCUAAUACCGCAUACGACCUACGGGUGAAAGCAGGGGAUCUUCGGACCUUGCGCGAUUGAAUGAGCCGAUGUCGGAUUAGCUAGUUGGCGGGGUAAAGGCCCACCAAGGCGACGAUCCGUAGCUGGUCUGAGAGGAUGAUCAGCCACACUGGAACUGAGACACGGUCCAGACUCCUACGGGAGGCAGCAGUGGGGAAUAUUGGACAAUGGGCGCAAGCCUGAUCCAGCCAUACCGCGUGGGUGAAGAAGGCCUUCGGGUUGUAAAGCCCUUUUGUUGGGAAAGAAAAGCAGCAGGUUAAUACCCCGCUGUUCUGACGGUACCAAAAGAAUAAGCACCGGCUAACUUCGUG